rnacentral:rRNA from 1 species
CUAAAAGUAAGUAAGGGCGCAUGGCGGAUGCCUUGGCUCUCGGAGGCGAUGAAGGACGUGAUAAGCUGCGAUAAGCUGCGGGUAGGUGCAAAUGACCUUUGAUCCGCGGAUUUCCGAAUGGGACAACCCGGUACUUUGAAGAAGUAUCAUCCUGCAUUGCAGGAGGCUAACGCAGGGAACUGAAACAUCUUAGUACCUGCAGGAAAAGAAAAUAAACAAUGAUUCCCCCAGUAGUGGCGAGCGAACGGGGAAUAGCCCAAACCAUCCAUGUUACGGCAUGGGUGGGGUUGUAGGACCACGCCGUGGCAAGAAAGUUGGUGAGCAGAAUGUUCUGGAAAGUACAGCCAUAGAGCAUGAGAGCUGCGUAUGCGAAGCCAAGCGAAGCCUAGUGGUAUCCUGAGUAGCGCGGAGCACGAGGAAUUCUGCGUGAAUCUGCCGGGACCAUCCGGUAAGGCUAAAUACUCCCGAGAGACCGAUAGCGAACCAGUACUGUGAAGGAAAGGUGAAAAGAACCUCGAACAGAGGAGUGAAACAGACCCUGAAACCAUGCGCCUACAAGCGGUCGGAGCAUGUUAAAAUGUGACGGCGUGCCUUUUGCAUAAUGAACCUACGAGUUACUCUCGCUGGCAAGGUUAAGCGAUUCAGUCGCGCAGCCGAAGCGAAAGCAAGUCCGAAUAAGGCGUACAGUCAGCGGGAGUAGACGCGAAACCAAGUGAUCUACCCUUGGUCAGGUUGAAGGUUGGGUAACACCAACUGGAGGACCGCACCGAUAAGCGUUGAAAAGCUUACGGAUGAACUGAGGGUAGGAGUGAAAGGCCAAUCAAACUUGGAGAUAGCUCGUACUCCCCGAAAUGCAUUUAGGUGCAGCCUCGAAGCAGAGUGAUAGAGGUAGAGCGACUGAUAAGAUGCGAGGGCUUCACCGCCUAUCAAGUCUUGACAAACUCCGAAUACUAUCACUUGAUCUUUGGGAGUGAGGGCAUGGGUGCUAAGGUCCAUGUCCGAAAGAGGAACAACUCAGACCACCAGCUAAGGUCCCGAAAUAAGGGCUAAGUUGAAUAAACGAAGUAAAACUGCAAAGACAGCUAGGAUGUUGGCUUGGAAGCAGCCAUUCAUUUAAAGAGUGCGUAACAGCUCACUAGUCGAGGAGUUUUGCAUGGAUAAUAAUCGGGCAUAAGCCCUUUACCGAAGCUGUGGAUGUCGUAAGACAUGGUAGGGGAGCAUUCCGGCGGCGACGAAGGCCGUCCUCGAGGACGACUGGAGCUUUCGGAAAAGCAAAUGUAGGUAUAAGUAACGAUAAAGGGGGCGCGAAACCCCCUCGCCAUAAGACUAAGGAUUCCUGAUCAACGCUAAUCGGAUCAGGGUAAGUCGGGCCCUAAGGCGCAGCCGAACGGCGUAGCCGAUGGAAGAAACGGUAAAGAUUCCGUUACUGGAUAUAGGAGCGAUGUGGAGACGGAGAAGUGACACACCCGCCUGCCGACGGAAGCGCAGGUUAAAGGAAGUAGGUAAACGCCGGGUAGGCAAAUCCGCCUGGCGUGCCGAAACUGACAGUAUCGAGAGCCCCCGGGCAAUCGAAUAGCGGUGGUAAUCAGGCUCCCAAGAAAAUCCGCUAAGCAUAUUCUAUAUCCACCCGUACCCCAAACGGACACACGUAGUCGGGUAGAAUAUACCAAGGCGCUCGAAAGACUCACGGUUAAGGAACUAGGCAAAUUGACCCUGUAACCUCGGGAAAAAGGGUCCCCAGUAAGAUGGGGCGCAGAGAAUAGGUCCAGGCAACUGUUUAACAAAAACACAGGGCUGUGCAAAAUUUCAAGAUGAAGUAUACAGCCUGACACCUGCCCGGUGCCGGAAGGUUAAGAGGAGAGCUAAUCGCAAGAGAAGGCUUGAAUUGAAGCCCCGGUAAACGGCGGCCGUAACUAUAACGGUCCUAAGGUAGCGAAAUUCCUUGUCGGGUAAGUUCCGACCUGCACGAAUGGUGUAAUGAUCUGGACACUGUCUCAACCGUGACUUCGGUGAAAUUGUAGUAUCGGUGAAGAUGCCGAUUACCCGCAACGGGACGAAAAGACCCCGUGAACCUUUACUGCAACUUAGCAUUGCGUUUGGGCAUUUGAUGUGUAGGAUAGUCCGGAGGCUACGAGCCGGCGACGCCAGUCGUCGGGGAGCCGUUGUUGAAAUACGGACCUUCGAAUGUUUGAGCGCUAACUCGCUGUAGCGAGGACACUGUUUGGUGGGUAGUUUGACUGGGGUGGUCGCCUCCAAAAGCGUAACGGAGGCUUCUAAAGGUACCCUCAGACCGAUUGGUAACCGGUCGGAGAGUGUAAUGGCACAAGGGUGCUUGACUGAGAGACCCACAAGUCGAUCAGGUAGGAAACUAGAGCAUAGUGAUCCGGUGGUUCCGUAUGGAAGGGCCAUCGCUCAAAGGAUAAAAGGUACUCCGGGGAUAACAGGCUGAUCCCUCCCAAGAGCUCAUAUCGACGGAGUGGUUUGGCACCUCGAUGUCGGCUCGUCACAUCCUGGGGCUGGAGAAGGUCCCAAGGGUUGGGCUGUUCGCCCAUUAAAGUGGCACGCGAGCUGGGUUCAGAACGUCGUGAGACAGUUCGGUCUCUAUCUGUUGUGGGCGCAGGAAAUUUGCGGAGGUCCGACACUAGUACGAGAGGACCGUGUUGGACAGACCCCUGGUGCAUCGGUUGUUCCGCCAGGAGCACAGCCGAGUAGCUAAGUCUGGAAGGGAUAAGCGCUGAAAGCAUCUAAGUGCGAAGCCCGCUCCAAGAUAAGAUUUCCAUAUAGGGACGUCAAAGACGAUGACGUGGAUAGGCCGCAGGUGUACAGGCAGCAAUGUCACAGCCGAGCGGUACUAAUAGCCCGAAACUUUCGGAA